AUUGAACGCUGGCGGCAUGCUUUACACAUGCAAGUCGAACGGUAACAGGCCUUCGGGUGCUGACGAGUGGCGAACGGGUGAGUAAUGCAUCGGAACGUACCCAGAGGUGGGGGAUAACGCAGCGAAAGCUGUGCUAAUACCGCAUGUGAUCUGAGGAUGAAAGCGGGGGACCGAGCAGCAAUGUUUGGCCUCGCGCCUUUGGAGCGGCCGAUGUCGGAUUAGCUAGUUGGUGGGGUAAAGGCCUACCAAGGCGACGAUCCGUAGCUGGUCUGAGAGGACGACCAGCGACACGGGGAGUGAGACACGGCCCAGACUCCUACGGGAGGCAGCAGUGGGGAAUUUUGGACAAGGGGCGCAAGCCUGAUCCAGCAAUGCCGCGUGAGGGAAGAAGGCCUUCGGGUUGUAAACCGCUUUUGGCAGGAACGAAACGGUGUCCGCUAAUACCGGGCGCUAAUGACGGUACCUGCAGAAUAAGCACCGGCUAACUACGUG
rnacentral:rRNA from 1 species